UUGAUAAACAGUUGGCUUCCCUUCGGGGGCCACGGCAAACGAAACAGCUUUGGAUUGGUUUUUGGCAAAACAGGACUGUUCCGUAUGCGGUAGGUUUUUUGACGUAUUCUGGAUCUAUUGGUAACCCAUGAACCCCAUCGUAAUAAAUAGAUUGCAGCGAAAGCUGGGCUAUACUUUUCAAC
rfam:Serratia sp. DD3 SRDD_contig000108, whole genome shotgun sequence.